GCUAAAUAGGCCCUUACAUCACAACUUAACUUCCAAGGAAAUUUUAAUUAACAUGACCUCUUAAAUCAAGCUUUGUGAUCAUUUGGACACAAUACUAAAAUCAAAUGCUACAAUGUUGGAUGAGGUCAUUGUGAAUAGCUUGUUAUAAGGGCUAUUUUGAGGUACCAUAUGAACUUCAGUGGAUAUUAUGCAGUACAAAGAAACAAUGUUUACUUCAGAAAAAAAUUUAUGUUUUGCUACUACAAUUUAUCUAAACAUUGAGAGAUUGUGUGCACAAAUAGGCAGAGUGGCAGAC